UUCAUAAUUUAUACAUAUACAUUUGAAUUUAAAAUGCAACACAAACAACGAAUGAUUUCUUUAUUUUCUAACACGUAUCCCUUUAUGUAGUUAGGCAAUAUAAGUAAAAGCUGAGUUUGCAUUAUAUUAUUAUCGCAAUAUAUUGUUGUCAAGUACAUUAAAAAGAAAAAAGUGAAGAACAACCGUUGUGAGAAUUAAUUGGAUAUGCGUGUGUCAGUAUGUGUAUAGAAUGAUAUGUUGCACGGUGCACCACAUUGGCGGAUGACUGAAAUUUUACUGCAUAUUAUUAGGCAAGGUUAUGUCAUUAUUUUUAAUUUUCGUUAAUUUAAGUACACUACAAAGGAGGAGAAGAAAGAUCUUAUAAUGCUCUUGUUUUCUACGACGUGUA